rnacentral:rRNA from 1 species
GACGAACGCUGGCGGCAUGCCUAAUACAUGCAAGUCGAGCGAACAGAUGAAGUGCUUGCACUUCUGACGUUAGCGGCGAACGGGUGAGUAACACGUAAGGAAUCUACCUAUAAGCGGGGGAUAACAUUCGGAGACGGGUGCUAAUACCGCAUAAUAUCUUCUUCCGCAUGGAAGAAGAUUGAAAGACGGCUCUGCUGUCACUUAUAGAUGACCUUGCGGUGCAUUAGUUAGUUGGUGGGGUAACGGCCUACCAAGACGAUGAUGCAUAGCCGACCUGAGGAGGUGAUCGGCCACAUUGGGACUGAGACACGGCCCAAACUCCUACGGGAGGCAGCAGUAGGGAAUCUUCCGCAAUGGGCGAAAGCCUGGCGGAGCAAUGCCGCGUGAGUGAAGAAGGCCUUCGGGUCGUAAAACUCUGUUAUAAGAGAAGAACAAAUUGUAGAGUAACUGCUACAGUCUUGACGGUAUCUUAUCAGAAAGCCACGGCUAACUACGUGCCAGCCGCCGCCGUAA